rnacentral:rRNA from 1 species
AUUGAACGCUGGCGGCAUGCCUUACACAUGCAAGUCGAACGGCAGCGGACCUUCGGGUGCCGGCGAGUGGCGAACGGGUGAGUAAUGCAUCGGAACGUACCUUUCAGUGGGGGAUAACGUAGCGAAAGUUACGCUAAUACCGCACAUUCUGUGAGCAGGAAAGCAGGGGAUCGCAAGACCUUGCGCUGAUUGAGCGGCCGAUGUCAGAUUAGCUAGUUGGUGAGGUAAAGGCUCACCAAGGCGACGAUCUGUAGCGGGUCUGAGAGGAUGAUCCGCCACACGGGGACGGAGACACGGCCCAGACUCCUACGGGAGGCAGCAGUGGGGAAUUUUGGACAAUGGGGGAAACCCUGAUCCAGCCAUGCCGCGUGAGUGAAGAAGGCCUUCGGGUUGUAAAGCUCUUUCGGCCGGGAAGAAAUCGCACAGGCUAAUACCUUGUGUGGAUGACGGUACCGGAAUAAGAAGCACCGGCUAACUACGUGCCAGCAGCCGCCGUAACAC